GGCUGGGGUCCUACUCUGUAGUUCAGUGCAUCAGGCGUUUGAUGGGCCAGCCUUUCUUGUUCAGCUGCUGAUACUGGCUGUGGGGAGAGAGAGGCUAUGGUGAUGGCUCCACCCCUUACGCGUGACUCAGCAGUAUCGCUUUGCUUCCAUGGCUGCACAGCUUUCCUCCACAGGCAUUUCCCACCACAGUCUCCUCCCUCACUUCCUUUUGAUACGUCUCUCCACAGUCAACAGCAGCCCUCGCCCUGGGAUGGCUCCACAAUCCCCAAACUCUGCGUCCCUGUCCGGGCUUCCCUGGUGGCUCAGAUGGUAAAGAGUCUGCCUGCAAUGCUGGAUAUCUGGGUUUGAUCCCUGAGUUGGGAAGAUCUUUUGGAGAAGGAAAUGGCAACCAACUCCAGUAUUCUUGCCUGAAGAAUGCCAUGGACAGAAGAGCCUGGCAAGCCCCAGUCCAUGGGGUCGCAAAGAGUUGGACACGACUGAGAAGGAUGCUGGCAUCCAGACCCUGAUAAGAUGGUUAUUUUGAGACCAUUAGUCUACCAUCUUCUCAGUCAGCUAGCUUUCUGAAUAAACUCAUAUUCCGUGCCUCAGCACCUUGUCUCUUGGAUGUUACUGGCCUGUGUGGGGCAAGUAGAGCAAGCUUGGACUUGGCAAACAGUCUCAACUGCUUUGAUAUCAAGUCAUGAUUUGAACUCAGAUCUUUGGCAGUGAUCAAGACCAUACCCAAGAAAAAGAAAUGCAAAAAGGCAAAAUGGUCGAUCACCAUUAUGUGAGUUUAACCCAUUUUGAAAAUUUUUCUCUCUAUGAACUGAAGGAAAUGCUUGAACAAUCUUUUCCUUACACUUGGGGUGGGCACUGGUUUUACCGGAUUCUGAAGUGUCCUACAGUUGCAAAAACAUGUGCCAAGAAUGGCUUCCUACUAUUGUGUAAGCUGAGGACCAGGAUACAAAGAAGGACUUCAGACAGGGAGAUAAAACAUAUUUAAAUAAGGCUAUGAUUAUAUUUUUUUUUCUAGUUUCUUUAAUCCUCUGCAGGAAAAGUUUAAAUAAAUGUGCCUUUUACAGCCAUUUUAAUUCCCAAAUAAAAGUAGAAGAAUAUAAGUUUGUUUGUAAUAUUAUGUAUCAUAUUCUAGAAAUACUGAAAUAUAGAAAAAUAUAAAAAUGUAAAACUCAUUAGGGAAAACUGAAGCAAAAAUAUUUUAUUAUGCUAUACUUUAAAAUGCAAAUAUGAAAGUUAAAAAUAAAUGGCAGG
rnacentral:lncRNA from 1 species